AUACGUAGGGAGCGAGCGUUGUCCGGAUUUACUGGGUGUAAAGGGUGCGUAGGCGGGUCUUCAAGUCAGGCGUGAAAUACCAGGGCUCAACUCUGGGGCUGCGCUUGAAACUGUAGAUCUUGAGUGAAGUAGAGGUAGGCGGAAUUCCUAGUGUAGCGGUGAAAUGCGUAGAUAUUAGGAGGAACACCAGUGGCGAAGGCGGCCUACUGGGCUUUAACUGACGCUGAGGCACGAAAGCAUGGGGAGC
rnacentral:rRNA from 1 species